GACUCAAUAGCUCAGUGGUAGAGCAUGAGAUUGCAGAUCUCAGGGUCCCGUGUUCGAACCACGGUUGGGUCU
rfam:Fistulina hepatica ATCC 64428 unplaced genomic scaffold FISHEscaffold_518, whole genome shotgun sequence.